rnacentral:rRNA from 1 species
GACGUAGCCUGCUGUCGACGAUUCCUACGGGAGGCAGCAGUAAGGAAUAUUGGACAAUGGAGGAAACUCUGAUCCAGCGAUGCCGCGUGAAGGAAGACGGCCCUAUGGGUUGUAAACUUCUUUUAUACAGGAAGAAACCUUUCCACGUGUGGAAAGCUGACGGUACUGUAAGAAUAAGGAUCGGCUAACUCCGUGCCAGCAGCCGCGGUAAUACGGAGGAUCCAAGCGUUAUCCGGAAUUAUUGGGUUUAAAGGGUCCGCAGGCUGUUUGUUAAGUCAGAGGUGAGAUCCUACCGCUCAACGGUAGAACUGCCUUUGAUACUGGCAAACUUGAGUUAUUGUGAAGUAGUUAGAAUGUGUAGUGUAGCGGUGAAAUGCAUAGAUAUUACACAGAAUACCAAUUGCGAAGGCAGAUUACUAACAAUUAACUGACGCUGAGGGACGAAAGCGUGGGUAGCGAACAGGAUUAGAUACCCUGGUAGUCCACGCCGUAAACGAUGGUCACUAGCUGUUCGAUGUACAUUGGUACAUUGAGUGGCUAAGCGAAAGUGAUAAGUGACCCACCUGGGGAGUACGCUCGCAAGAGUGAAACUCAAAGGAAUUGACGG